CGGGCUCAGCCCCCCGCCCGGCCGCCCUCCCUCGCCGUCCGUCGGUCGUUGCCGCCUCAGAAGUUGGGGGCCGGCCCCGGGGCGGAGGCAGCGCGAUGCCCGGCGGUGCCGCCGCCGCGGCGGCCGCUCGCUGAGGCGCUCCCAUGGUGCCGGCGCCCGCCGCGGCUUGGGGGGGCCGCGCCCGCCGCCGCCGCCCAAAGUUGGGGGAAGUUUCCGAGCGAGUCGGUGCUGGGAUGGCUGGAGAAGGUCGCGAUUUGCAGUUGAGCUGAGGGAGGCGUGAAGCUUCAUCCAUCCCCUGCUGACAUUUGAGGGAGAGGGAACAUGAAAAUGCAUAUCAGAACGUCGUAGACAACAAAUCCUGUUGUAAAUGACACUUAAAUGACAUCUACUUUGAAUAAUUAGAGGUAUGGAUCUUCGGCAUCUGCUGUUUACUUUGGCAGUGGUCUGCUGUGCAAAUGACUCACUUUCUGCAAGUGAUGGUUCCUCUGCAUUUGGAUCUACCAGGACUAAUGCGAAAGACCCGUGACUGUGUGGCAUCGUGGUAACAUCUAUGAGACUUCUUAAAGGCACAUUCUGAGGCAAUUUCUGAGAGAAGUUUAAAUAUCCUGAGCAGAAUUGGUAAACCACAUGGGAUGUGAAACAAGACUGUCGUGGUUUGGCCUCAGACGGCAACAAAGAACCACGUGCCGCUCGCUCGGGCCUUCCCGAUACGGGAAGAAUCAGAAGAAAAAGGCACGACUCUUGGGUUGAGACAAAGGCAGUUUAACAGGACAGCAAAGGGGACAAGCAAACAACAACAACAACACGGACAGAGGAAUAUACAAACACGAUCACGGAACCUCCGCUCCCCGCCCGGACCCGGGACGCCCCCGCCCGCUCCAAGUGGCGACUUCCUGCCCCCUGCCCCGGCAGCUCAGGGUGGGCAUGGCUCACAUGGCAUGGAAUACCAGGGAAAAUUAACCCUAUCCCCGCCGGAACCAGGACAGACUGCCAUCACUAAAUGUAGUAGGAAAUUAUAGAAUAAUUUUCUCCCCAGAACUAAACUGGAUCUUGGUUUUGUCUCUCUAUUACACUUGUGUAAAUCCGUUUUACUUCCUGUUGUUGAUUCAUACAAUAGUAAAACCAGCACAAAUUGGAGAGGAAUUUUUCACCAAAGCAGAAUAAUUUCCUGAAGUAGAAUUAAUAUCAUCAGUCAGGGAUGCUCUCACAUGAAUUACCCUCAUAGCUAUUUCUGUUUAUUGUUUUAAAGACAAGACUAACCCUCUUGCACUCAUCAUGUUUUUCUGCUCACCUGUAGAGGGGGUGAAUCAAUCACUUAAUCCCAUGUGCCUCAGUGUGCCAAAAAUGUAGUUUUGGUCAUUUCGUAUAAUUACAGCUUGCAGUUGUUGCUGAGGAGAUCGUGUGAUUAUAACUUUAUUCUUGAGACCCGUCCGAGUAGCAAACCCUUUUCUUUUACUGUGCAGGGGUGGAGGUGGAAUCACAGCUGCUGAGACCGUAGGCAAGAUAUAGAAAUCUGGCUAAACGCAUGCAAGUGAUCUGUGGGCUGUUGUAAGCUCUAUUUUCUCUUACUAAGGCAUUGGAGCAAAAUCAACAGAACGACUGCUGGCUUAAAUGGUGCAUUUGUUGACAGUUACAGAAUAGCAGAGGGAUACUGAGAGAAAAAUGAAGAGAGCAAGGAAAGUUGGGCCAAGAGCAAGAUGACGCACAGUCGCUGCGGGAGAUGAGUUCUGCAGCGUCUGCCUUCAGGCUUUCCAAAGCUACAGGGUCCCCACAGCAGGAAAGGUGUAUCUCCUGGGGAUACCUAGUGUCAAUCUAUAGCACAGAUAUCAGUGAUUAAUACCCGCCUUUAGAAACCUGAAUGUAAAUGGAGUUUCCUGACUGACCGGCAAUGCUGCGUCUGACACAGUAAAGCAAGUUGUCAUUGCCAGGAUUUCCUGAGUAAUCAUUUUGGCUUUGGCAACUGUUCUUCCUUCCCACAUUCUAAGCUCAGUUGGGGUUCACAUAACGAACCUCUCUUCUUCCCCUGUUUUCCCACUGCAAAAAGCAGAGAAAUGCAUAUGUUACGAUAAUUUUAGGGAUAUUAUGUGUGAUUGUUUGAAUGAUAGUUUGAAUGAGGGCACGUACAAAUCUCUUACUGUAUUGUGUGUUGAAUGUCCAGAACCUGCUGACUUUAAGUCAGCAUAUUGGAAAGCUCCUAGAGGAGAAGCAAGUACUAUUAUAGAUGUAAUGUAAGAGCAUUUUUUGACUGAUCUAUGUUUCUUUGAUUGUUUUAAAGAAUUGUUAGGGGUACCUUUAUUGACAGUGCCUAUUAAUCUUCUGUUAAUCUAAAUAAACCAUGAAAACUG